rnacentral:lncRNA from 1 species
AAUAAAAGGUCCAUGUGUCCAUGUGCCAUUUCCAUGUGUCACCAACUAGGAGAGUCCAAAGGUUCACAUAGGUAUGAAUUCACCAUUUGAGAGCCAUAAAAGCGGCCACUCCCAAGUUCUUCCCAUGCUCUCAUGUUGUAUAUCCGUGAAGGUAUUUAGUGCAAGGCCCUGGGGGUGGACUAGUAACAAGGUAUAUAGCACAUGUCCGAGGACAAAUUGGAGCUACAAGACAAUGCCGUCAUUAGCUCUUUGUCCUUUUAAAUUAUACUUAUUCAGGUAGUUACUGCCUGGUUACAAAGAAGUAAUUAAAAAAAAAAUGUGCCAAAUAAAGCCCUGGGGUCCAUAUAAAAAACACUUUAAAAGAUGGCCGGGGGCAGGAUAGACUUCAGCAAGUCUCAAGAGUUGGGUUUAAUUCAACUUCUAAGUGGUGUAUUAAAUAAAAUCCCCAGAGACUCAUGGGCCCUAAACAUGGUCUGUGUUAGCAUCAGAAUCUGCCUCUCUUCAAAUCUGAGUGAUUUACUAUACUUUUGGGGAUUUGUAAAAUAAAUAUGUGAUUCUCCCUACAUGUAUCACUGGAGUUGCUUCAAACACAAAGAACAUUGCCCUGGGAAAUGGAAAAAGUACCAGGGAAAAGAAUGUUGCUUUGACAAUAUUCAACACAAUACGAUUAGCUACAGAAGUAGGCCAAAAACAAGGUUUCUUCAUUGUCGGUAGAAACUGCUUAUAAAGAACUUGGUGGGAAAUCAAUGCUUCCAUAUCCUCCCUUUUCAGGUCAUUUUAUUCCUGUUCUAUUGCUCAGUUUACAGGAAAUUCUGAUAACAAAGAACACUAAUGUCUCCUAACCUUUUUACCCACUGAGUUGCCAUAUUCCAAGCGGAGGAUUUCUGUGUGCCUAAGAUUGAAUGUGUUCACCCCAAGCAUACUGCAGCUUCUUACACCAUUUUUUCAUAUCUGAAUAGAGUCUGUCAGGAAGGUGAUGGAUGAAUCUUACUGGGAGACUAAUCUUACUGAGAGACUUUUAAGUAAGAUCUAUAAACUCUCUUUGAUAUGUUUAGAAAAUAUGUUGCAGAAAAUUACUGGUGAUUAAUUAAAGCAGCAAGAAAAAAAACAGGAAAACCCAGAAAUUUAAACUUUGGAUAUAUCUUUUUACUAAUCAUAAAUGUACAGAUAUAAUUAAAUAUAUAAUACCAUAUAUUGUGAAACAAUGACCAAAAUGACUCUAUGAAACAUAAUUCCUAAUGGACUACUCUAUUUUCCUUUUAUUAAGACGGACCUAAUAGAAUUGGAUAACCCAAUGGACAAAGUAGUUAGUACCUAUAUUUAAGUACAGUUUUAGAUUCUGUUACCAGGAUGUUCUCAACAGCAUACAAGAAAAUUAUGGUCAUAUCUGGGUAAAAUCCAAAUUCAUCUGAACACUCUCCCUUAGUCUUCACCCUGAUACUUGAUACAUGCUAGGAGCCCAUUAAAUGUCUUUUUGAUAAUGAUAAUUUUUCUUUAAAAGUCUCGGGUAUAUAUUAGGUGACAGUAUAUUAAUCACUAAAAUGUAAAAAUCCCUAUUCCAUAUUUGCAUUCAAAACCAAUUCUCUCUCUUACAUACACACACACAUACACAUAGACUUUUCCAAAGGAUGUUGCUGCAUUCCUACCUCAUGUUUCAUCUGGAAGUUCUGCACAAGGUUGAGGUCAGUAAACAUCCGAAUUGUACACAGUGCUGUUUCCAGAUCAGACAGCUCAAAGUCACUGAAGCUAAAGUCAGUAAUUUUAAGGGUCUGGGCAGAUGGCACCACAGCAGCCUUGGGUAAGGAAAGAAGAAAAAAAAAAAUGCUGUUAAUUAAAGCAGCAGUGAUUUGCAAGGUUUUCUUGUUUUGCUGCAGAGAAAUAGCAUAUUGUGGCUUUUUUUUCCUUUUUAAUGAAAGACACUAGAAACCUUUUUGUACAGUGGCAACUCCACUCUCUGCAUUUUUAAAACUGAGCCACAUAAGGGUAAUUAAUAUGGUUCAAAGUAGGCUAAGUGGAGAAAAGGGAGUUGUCACCCUUAGACUGUACCUGGAACAGUGAGCAACACUAAGAACUCCUCUAGUGAUCUGGCUCCUUUAUACCUCCCCAGUCUUAUUCACUCAAAAGAAAUUUAUAAUUUAUUGAGUAAAUAUUCUGGAACCAUCCCAGUGCUCUGGGCUGCAAAUCAUCUGGAUAAAAUAUUGUACAUUUUACUAAUAGCAGGAAAUAAAUUUACUAAGCAGGGAAUAAAGUAUGUGGUAUUUCUGGCAUAGGAUGUAUAUACAGUUCCAGAUUUUCACAGUUUCUUGUUUUAGUGACUUUUAUUCAUUAGAAUUAGCAAAUUUAGAUUUCUGAGUUUGAUUUUCUUCAGGGGAUUUUAUUAUUGCAUUACGGUUUUGAAGCCUAACAGAAAGAACAUAUUUUACAGAGUCUGUAAAACAAUAAGCAAUCACACACAUGUGUGAUCAAGACAGGGUCAUGGGAAGUUUUUGGCUCUGAAAGGUUAAGGUCAAGAUGAGGAAAAUUCUGGCCUAAGAAAUCCUGCCUAAAUGGUCAGCUAAGCUAUAAGGACUGAACUGAAACAGCACUGCCUCCGUGACAAAAAUGAGAAGCUAUUUUAUAAAACCAAACCCUGGUAUAUAUUUUACUGUUCUAACAAGAAAGGAAGGUUGCCGGGACUGACCCACAGACCCUGACAGAGCAACAGAUGAGAAAAUGCACUCUGACCCAGAUAUCCAAUGAAAGAGCAGGCUAGGGGACCAGGUAACCCACAGAAAGAGUUGUAGCAGCUGCAGCCCUGACAAGCUGGGGCUGCAGGCAUUUAUUUAGUACAGAUUUAAUGACAGAGGCCUUGAGUCAACACACUUGUGGGUAAUUAACAUGGUCACCCCUCAUCCCCUUUCUAUCUAACCUAAGCUUUUAGGCACCGGAUAAGAGAAUCUGGCUGCCUUCAGCCAAAUCCUUUUCCGAAGCUUUUGUAAAACCUCCCAGCCUUCCAAGAAGGUUUGCAUCUUUCCACAGUUUUUCCCGCCACCCUGACUGAUCUCCUACAGAAGGCAAAAAAGGCUGUCAAUCAAUGAAUCAAAUAUUUACUUCCUAGUUUUUCAGAUAAUAAAUAAGCACUUAUUAUAUUCUGAUAAUUAAUUAACUUUCUAAUAACCAUAACAGGUCAGCCGGGGUCCUUUUAUUAUUAUCUCCGCAACUUGCAACUAAGGAUCAUUAAAAGAUAUAUGCAAAAUGCUCAGUUUAACACCUAAUUUAUGCUACACCCAAUUUUAAGCCAAGAGAAGGUUAGAUUUAUAAUGGGAUACAACACUCAAGCAACAGAAGUGGAAAAAAUAAAGAUUCUGAAUUUCCUAUCCACUAAUUACUUUGUUAUAACUGGAGAAAUUUUUCUGGACACAGGCGUAAAUAUUUAGUAGAUUUAAUUCUCUUAAGAAUAAAUUUGUUAAAAUAAAAAUUAAGAAAAUAUUUGAUAGCUUUUCCAUUUAUUUUGGGUUUUAAAUUGAGAUAACCAGACAAACGACAGCAAUUUUGGUGAUUGCUGGAUGAUACAAACACCUGUGUAGCUAGGGCUGUACAGGCAUUUUUAUUUGGUUGACAGACAACUAGAACUGAAAUCAGUUGCUGAAUUUCAACCAAUUUAAGUGAAUUACUUGACCUACAAGCUAUGUAACCCUAAAUUUCUCAAUGCAGCUGCCAGAAAUCUAUUUUCUAAAUGCAACAACAGCUGGUUUUGAACAAUACUGGAAUAUAGCAAUUUUCAGUUAUUC